rnacentral:lncRNA from 1 species
GUAUGCAGGUCUAGGUAGCUUCGUAACAGCCAUGGCGCACAAUAGAGCUUCAGAGGGCGAUCGCGAUGGCCGUUGUUGAACUGAAUCGCGAUCAACCAAGGGUUAGUUCUCUACUGAGCGAUUCGGCAUAUUUGGAUUCCACUACUAUGAUUUCUCCGUUAUUUCCAUUCGCCGGCUCAAUUGCUACCGAACUGCACCUAUUUAGUUGGUCUAGUUCAGAGUUACGCAUUUUUUUUCACCAGGGUGUGAUUCUGAACUAAUUUGUUUGGGCCCCAUGGAUCUUGGUGGUUAAUUUUAUAUCCUUACGCACUCGAAUCAAAGUAAACCUAUACAUCCUAACCACCAUCUCAGUACCUCUUAACAGAACCAUUUGCCUCUUAUUUCUAUACAUCUAUUAGUCGCCAUGGCUCUUAGUUAUUUUGCAUGCCAUUUGGAGUUAACUUCGCAUGUAAGUGUUGUUCACUAUUGUAAAUAUUUAGUUUCAUGUGUAAACUUGUUGAGAUAUUAACAUUAGAAGCUUACACCAGCCAGGUUGACGAGCGGUGGCUCCGUGCCAUGGAUAUCGUAUGUUGGUGAUGCAUUUUUUUGUUGGAUUUAUAUGGCCUCAAAUGCUGCUGCUAUAAUACUUGAGUUCUGCAAUGUAUGUUCUAUUAUGUUGUCAGGUCAACUUGAUUAGACUUUCAUUUGACACAUUUCUAUUUGGAUUAAUUUGUUGCAACCUUAGGUUUAUUGUUGUUUUAUACUAGAUACUUUGUUAUUCUCAUUUGUAAGCACAAUAAGAUUUAAGUAUAUUGGAAAGCAUGUAAUUUGUUUUUUAAGUUUCUUCUACUAUCUAUUCAUUUCUACAAAUGUCUAAUGAUGUUGUGAAUAUGGUAGGUAUGAUUGGGUAGCAUGCUACUUGCUGAUGUCCAUCACAAUCCGCCAUGACAUAUAGUUGCCAUCAGGAGAGUCGACGACAAGAACACGAGUGACAACCUUAGUAGUUUAUAUGUUUUGUUGAUGUAAAUUGGAUUGAACCAGUUCCUAAUCCUUG